CCUCUAUGGCCCCACCCCUAGCGCCGCCUAUGCUAAUCGGUAGUGUUGCAGUGUGCGAAGAGCAAUAUAAUUAUUAACCAGCAGUUAUUAACCACCCAUCAUAAUUCCAGACGAUGACUGAGGUACAUCAACCAACAUGUAUCCAGUUAACUCCCACUAGUGUUGCAUUCAACUCCCUGGCUGUUCCAGACAAAAUCAUUCGGAGCUCGAGGCCAUCGUGACGCCCAAGUUUUGCUAAUUAAUAACGGCGGGCACGCGCUUCCUCUUUUAAAACACUCCAUAUUCAUCAAACAUUUAAACGAAGAAUCCUGUUCACCCUGCAGCCUUGUGACUGCUAUCCAGAUGGACUCAUUACAACCAUUCCUCCACAGCUGCAAGGCUAGGCUUGUGCAGAUCAGAGGAAUGGCCUGAUGGAGAAUUGCCAUAUGACCAAUCGAUCCUGAGAUGACACUGGCAGGAUGGUGUGUGUGUCGCUGUCAGAUGGUGGAGAACUUUGGGAUAUAAACAGAUUGGCUGGUGUGACCUGAAUGGACCCUUCACCUUCGUCGUGUGAGAUGCAGUGAUCUGGAGGGGACUAUUGAGUGAGAUGUCCAAAGUCCCCGUUACCUUGUGACAUGUGAAGGUGUGAUGUAUAUGAUUGUGGGGCUUGUGUGGCCUUUUGUUUAAAGAACUGGCCUGAAACCAAAAGGCUGGAUGUUCAAACAAUGAUCUACCACAAAGCCAAUACCAGACUGCUACAGGGCUUUUCCCCCUGCAAUAAAAGCACUAGGAGUUAUUUUUGAUAUAAACACCGGCUACAU